rnacentral:lncRNA from 1 species
GUUAAUCUAAGUAAUUGCCUAACAUAAAUGCACUUACAUAGUAAUUAAGUAUCCUGGUUGACAUAUGAUUGUAAACAAUUGCUGAAAUUAUUAACUGUUCACAGGGUUGCUGUGGCUCUUCCCCUCCUCAGGAGGCAACGAAGAUUACAAGGUGAGAAGACAGCACAAAGGCAAGGGAAGUUUUGAGAGAGAAAAAUGAACAGGUAUACAUCUUGUGGUGAAAGGACACGCUGUGAUUCCUGACUGCUUCAUGACCACAUUGAGCACACUGAUUCACACCAUUGGAGUUUGUUUGAAUUGAUGCUGACAGAUGACAUCACUUAUUGAAUUUCUCAGAAUUUAUGUCUGUUGUGAGGCACAAUCAAGCAUAUUACAUUUGUAAGACAUCACUAAACCAUCGGAUUAGCUGUGAUUCUGUAUAGGAAGGUAAUCCGGGAGUCUCUAAUACCUUUAAAUUAUGGAUUAAUAAAUAUGUGUAUUGCGCUUCUAUAUUAAUAUUA